CGUAAGGUGUUGUAAGAUAAGAAGUUAAUGAAAAAAAGAGAGUGAGAAGAACUGAGAGUUCCCACGUCUCCGUUGACAAAAUCAGUCCUAAACACAUGCUUUCAAUCACCCAAAUUACCAGCAAACAACAACCAUGACGAUCAUUAAGAACAAGAUAACCUCCAAGGGGGAAAGGGAGGGGGGAAAAAUGAGCACAUCGUUUUCUUUUCCUGCAUGCGCAGGCUGGUGUUGCGAAGUUAUAUACUUGGUUGUCGUUGAUGACUUGGAGCUCGAUUAAUUGUCACUCAGGGGAGGAAGCACAGGUUGACUAAACCUGGGUAUGAACUACAUCCUUAUAUACAGGAUCACAGAGGAGGAUGGUGUGAACGCUACUCGUCUCGGCAUAGUCACAUAUAAUGCAAGAAGUGUGCGCCACAGUGACGAGUACACCACUGGGAUUGAGUACACCUGCAGAUGAGCGUCAUACUAGCUUACAUUGCAUGGUUAGGCGAGGGAAAGGCUGAUGGUGUCACAUAUGAGUAACUACUUACGCAAUUUAUGUACACCUGGAGAUUGAAUGAUUAUUCCACCUCCACCAUAUGAUCCACAUGCAGGAUACCCCGUGCCUCCACUAGAGAUGACUGCACAAGCCCCUCUACCACCACACAAUGAUUAUGCACUGAUCGAAUUUUAAUAGUGGUAAGAAAAGUUGUCAUUCACUAAAAGUUGUCAUUCACUCAGACUUGUCGGAUUGAUUUUAAGUUUUAAUAAAAGAAAAUACUAAAA